GUGAUUGCCAUCUUGUUGGAGGAGAGCUUGUUUGUUCUCAGCUGAAGGAGCUGUGAAAAUGUCAUUGCUCUUGGAUCCCCAGUGUAAUCUGGUCACUGCUCUGGAUUGUGGUUAAUACCAGCAUUACGUGCAUCCAGCCAAGACAAACUCUAAAUGGGAAGAGUCCUUGGAGUCUGACUUGGCGAGCAGGUUCUGCAAAGCCUCCCAU
rnacentral:lncRNA from 1 species